AAACAAUGGAAAACGUCAGGCUCUAUGUGGCAUGCAGUGAUAACCCACAGUUCUUGGACUACGUGGUUGCGUAUUCUGAAUGUGGCAAAUGCGCCAUCACGACGUUACCUACAAUUGGCCCGGACGCCUGUGCAAUGUUCGUGAAUAACCCGGACGUCCCUCCGACUCGCUGCUGUCUCUUUACAUACGCGCUCUUGUGUGGAAGCACCAAGAUCCCAAGCUACGAAAAGGACAAAUGCACCAACUUGUAAACCAUUACUUUGCGUACGUGUCUGCAAGCUGUUCACGGUGUUUGGCCUACGUGAAGCUUUCAAGAUUAAAAGCGCCACCAAGUCUACGCGUCUCACAUUGUAUU